GCACGCGAGCUGGGUUCAGAACGUCGUGAGACAGUUCGGUCCCUAUCCGCUGCGCGCGGAGGAAUCUUGAGAAGGGCUGUCCUUAGUACGAGAGGACCGGGACGGACUGACCUCUGGUGUGCCAGUUGUUCUGCCAAGGGCAUGGCUGGUUGGCUACGUCGGGUUGUGAUAACCGCUGAAAGCAUCUAAGCGGGAAGCACGCUUCAAGAUGAGGGUUCCUGCAGAUGAAUCUGGUAAGGUCUCCGGUAGACGACCGGGUUGAUAGGCCAGGCGUGGACGCAUCGUAAGGUGUGGAGCUGACUGGUACUAAUAGACCGAGGACUUACACAACAUUC
rnacentral:rRNA from 1 species